GACCGCUUAGCUCAGUUGGCAGAGUGUCUCGCUUACAUCGAGAAGGUCGGAGGUUCGAGCCCUCCAGCGGUCA
rnacentral:tRNA from 1 species